AUGGAAACUUCGACAAAGACAAAGACACUUUGAACUAUAAUCUGGUCGACCCUCCUCUAAUGGGUUUAUUGCAGUUCCAAGAAAUGGUUGGACAGCAAUCAGAUUCAAGGCAAAUAAUCCAGGAGUUUGGUUUAUGCAUUGCCAUUUUGAGCGUCAUAUAAGUUGGGGAAUGGGAAUGGCAUUCAUUGUUCGAAAUGGCAAGAGCCGACAUGCUAAAAUACUGCCUCCACCUCCAGACAUGCCAAGGUGUUAAUGCUGAACAAAAUGGAUAUCUCUUGUGUAUGUGAUUUAAUACUAGUGUGUGCUUUUGUUGCAACUUUGUUAGUGUGCUUCCUUUUUUGUAAUCUGAAAUUAUAAUUCGUUUGAGAAUAAUUUGUAAACGAUUUAAUUUAUAAAUAAGUUAAAAAUAAAAUAUUAUCUAAAUUUUGUUCAACGUGUUAGAAUCAUAUUAAGGAAUUGAACUAUGGUUGACUUUUAUAACAUAGUUUAUGAUCGAUAUUUCAGUUAACGAGUUGAAUAGAUUUUGUUAGGUUUAGAUGUUAGUCGUGC
rnacentral:lncRNA from 1 species